rnacentral:tRNA from 1 species
UCCCCGGUAGCUCAGACGGUAAAGAAUCUGCCUGCAAUGCAGGAGAUCCAGGUUCAAUCCCUAGACUGGGAA